GACGAACGCUGGCGGCGUGCCUAAUACAUGCAAGUCGAACGCAGUGGGGACGGGUGAGUAACACGUGGGUAACCUCCCAUCAGAGGGGAUAACACUUGGAAACAGGUGCUAAACCGAUACUGAUGGAUGGACCCGCGGUGCAUUAGCUAGUUGGUGAGGUAACGGCUCACCAAGGCGACGAGCCAUAGCUGUCCGGAGAGGGUGAUCGGCCACACUGGGACUGAGACACGGCCCAGACUCCUACGGGAGGCAGCAGUGGGGAAUCGUGGACAAUGGGCGAAAGUCUGAUCGAGCAACGCCGCGUGAGUGAAGAAGGUUUUCGGGUCGUAAAGCUCUGUUGGUAGGGAGGCGUUAUCUAACCAGAAAGCCACGGCUAACUACGUGCCAGCAGCCGCGGUAAUUC
rnacentral:rRNA from 1 species